rnacentral:rRNA from 1 species
CUAUACAUGCAAGUCGAGCGAACAGACGAGGAGCUUGCUCCUCUGACGUUAGCGGCGGACGGGUGAGUAACACGUGGAUAACCUACCUAUAAGACUGGGAUAACUUCGGGAAACCGGAGCUAAUACCGGAUAAUAUAUUGAACCGCAUGGUUCAAUAGUGAAAGACGGUUUUGCUGUCACUUAUAGAUGGAUCCGCGCCGCAUUAGCUAGUUGGUAAGGUAACGGCUUACCAAGGCAACGAUGCGUAGCCGACCUGAGAGGGUGAUCGGCCACACUGGAACUGAGACACGGUCCAGACUCCUACGGGAGGCAGCAGUAGGGAAUCUUCCGCAAUGGGCGAAAGCCUGACGGAGCAACGCCGCGUGAGUGAUGAAGGUCUUCGGAUCGUAAAACUCUGUUAUUAGGGAAGAACAAAUGUGUAAGUAACUAUGCACGUCUUGACGGUACCUAAUCAGAAAGCCACGGCUAACUACGUGCCAGCAGCGGCCGGUAAUAA